rfam:Schistosoma haematobium scaffold508_2, whole genome shotgun sequence.
GCACUACUGACGAGUCCCACAAUAGGGCGAAACGACUGUCCAGUAC